rnacentral:rRNA from 1 species
GACGAACGCUGGCGGCGUGCUUAACACAUGCAAGUCGAACGGGCCCGCCCCUGUUUUUGGGGGUGGGUUGAGUGGCGAACGGGUGAGUAUCACGUGAGUAACCUGCCCCCUGCUCCUGGAUAACUGCUUGAAAGGGCGGCUAAUACGGGGUGUGCCGGCUGGUCCGCAUGGGCCUGGUCGGGAUAGUUUCAUCUUCGGGGGUUUCGGUGGGGGAUGGGCUCGCGGCCUAUCAGCUUGUUGGUGGGGUGAUGGCCCACCAAGGCGGUGACGGGUAGCCGGCCUGAGAGGGUGGGCGGCCACACUGGGACUGAGACACGGCCCAGACUCCUGCGGGAGGCAGCAGUGGGGGGUAUUGCACAAUGGGCGGAAGCCUGAUGCAGCGACGUCGCGUGAGGGAUGGAGGCCUUCGGGUUGUGAACCUCUUUCUCCGGUGGUGAAGGCCCUGUCCGUUGCGGCGGGGUUGACGGUAGCCGGGUAUGAAGCGCCGGCUAACUACGUG